UAGUUAUUUCAACCAAUGUUCCCCAUAG
rnacentral:piRNA from 1 species